UACGUAGGGGCCGAGCGUUGUCCGGAGUUAUUGGGCGUAAAGCGCGCGCAGGCGGCCUCGCGCGCCCGACGUGAAAGCCCCCGGCUUAACCGGGGAGGGUCGUUGGGGACGGCGGGGCUUGAGGGCGGGAGAGGGCGGUGGAAUUCCCGGUGUAGUGGUGAAAUGCGUAGAGAUCGGGAGGAACACCUGUGGCGAAGGCGGCCGUCUGGGCCGACCCUGACGCUGAGGCGCGAAGGCGUGGGGAGCGAACGGGAUUGAGAGUACC
rnacentral:rRNA from 1 species